rnacentral:rRNA from 1 species
CUACGGGCGGCUGCAGUAAGGAAUAUUGCGCAAUGGAGGCAACUCUGACGCAGCCAUGCCGCGUGCAGGACUGAAGGCCUUAUGGGUCGUAAACUGCUUUUAUUUAGGAAUAAACUUUCGUACGUGUACGAGACUGAAGGUACUAAAUGAAUAAGCACCGGCUAACUCCGUGCCAGCAGCCGCGGUAAUACGGAGGGUGCAAGCGUUAUCCGGAGUUAUUGGGUUUAAAGGGUGCGCAGGCGGACUAUUAAGUCAGAGGUGAAAUCCCGGAGCUCAACUUCGGAACUGCCUUUGAUACUGGUAGUCUUGAAUACGGUUGAAGUAGGCGGAAUGUAGCAUGUAGCGUUGAAAUGCAUAGAGAUGCUACAGAACACCGAUCGCGAAGGCAGCUUACUAAGCCGAUAUUGACGCUCAGGCACGAAAGCGUGGGGAGCGAACAGGAUAGAUACCCGCGUAGUC